rnacentral:rRNA from 1 species
UACGAAGGGUGCUAGCGUUGUUCGGAAUUACUGGGCGUAAAGCGUACGUAGGCGGCUUAGUAAGUCGAUUGUGAAAGCCCCAGGCUCAACCUGGGAAUUGCAACCGAAACUGCUUUGCUUGAGUUUGGUGGGGGAUGGCGGAAUUCCUAGUGUAGGGGUGAAAUCCGUAGAUAUUAGGAGGAAUACCGGUGGCGAAGGCGGCCAUCUACGCCAAUACUGACGCUAAGGUACGAAAGCGUGGGGAGCAAACAGG